GAGUUUGAUCAUGGCUCAGAACGAACGCUGGCGGCGUGCCUAACACAUGCAAGUCGAACGGAGUUGAGGGGCUUGCUCCUCAAUUUAGUGGCGCACGGGUGAGUAACGCGUAGAUAAUCUGCCUGAUGAUCUGGGAUAACACUUCGAAAGGGGUGCUAAUACCGGAUAAGCCCACGAUGGCCUAGGUCGUUGCGGGAAAAGGGGGGGACUUUCGGGCCUUCUGUCAUCAGAUGAGUCUGCGUACCAUUAGCUAGUUGGUGGGGUAAGAGCCUACCAAGGCGACGAUGGUUAGCUGGUCUGAGAGGAUGAUCAGCCACACUGGUACUGAGACACGGUCCAGACUCCUACGGGAGGCAGCAGUGGGGAAUUUUGCGCAAUGGGCGAAAGCCUGACGCAGCAACGCCGCGUGAGUGAUGAAGGCUUUCGGGUCGUAAAGCUCUGUCAAGGGGAAAGAAGUGUAUUGCGGUUAAUACCCGUGAUACUUGACGGUACCCCUAAAGGAAGCACCGGCUAACUCCGUGCCAGCAGCCGCGGUAAUACGGAGGGUGCGAGCGUUGUUCGGAAUUAUUGGGCGUAAAGCGCGUGUAGGCGGUUUGUUAAGUCUGAUGUGAAAGCCCUGGGCUCAACCUGGGAAGUGCAUUGGAUACUGGCAGACU
rnacentral:rRNA from 1 species